rnacentral:rRNA from 1 species
CCUACGGGAGGCAGCAGUGAGGAAUAUUGCACAAUGGGCGCAAGCCUGAUGCAGCGACGCCGCGUGUGGGACGAAGGGGUACGCCUCGUAAACCACUGUAGCGACGACCUCGGUACCGGGAAAGUAAGGGUCGGCUAACUACGUGCCAGCAGCCGCGGUAAUACGUAGGACCCAAGCGUUGUCCGGAUUUACUGGGUGUAAAGGGUGCGCAGGCGGAUGGAUAAGUCAGAGGUGAAAGUCUGCAGCUUAACUGUAGAAUUGCCUUUGAUACUGUUCAUCUUGAGUGUGGGAGAGGUUGAUGGAAUUCCAGGUGUAGCAGUGAAAUGCGUAGAUAUCGGAAGAACACCAGUGGCGAAGGCGGUCAACUGGCCAUACUGACGCUCAUGCACGAAAGCGUGGGUAGCGAACAGGAUUAGAUACCCUUGUAGUC